CAGAGUGACAAUAGAAAUAAAUGUUUGGUUUCUUGUGACCAGCACAGCGUGUUUUUGUUGAAACAUUGGCGUAAAGAUAUGGACAAAUGCCACGCAGUGUAUAUUUUAAGCACCCUACUGGGUUCAGCCUCACAUUGUGUGUGGUUGAAGAUUUUUUUUCAGAGUCUGAUGGGAAUUUUUAUCUCAGAGGACUCCAAAUUGUGGUGGCUGGUUUGUUUUCCUUUUAGGGUGGGUGUGUUUUGUUUUGGGGCUUUUAAUUUUUUCCCUUCAGUCCAAAAAUGGAUUGAAAGGACUGGGAGGGCUGAUUCCAGUCCCUAAUGGGGGAAAAUGUUUCAUUGUAGGACACGAGAGGCUUAAGUACGGCAAAGCCUUUCAUAUCGUGAUUUAUUUGUCAUAAGCAAAUAAAAUGCGGUUAAGCUGCCUCCUUCUAGACAGACGGCUCUUUGGUUAUUAAAGUUCCGAGAGAGGAUUCCAUGAGGCUGGCCUCUUUCCUCGCAGCAUAAGAAGCAAAUCUCCUCAGACCGGCUGUUGGGGGAAAAAAGUGUUAGCCGUCUCUCCCGGAUCUGCAAGGGGGAAAAAAUUUGGAACCAUAAA
rnacentral:sRNA from 1 species